rnacentral:rRNA from 1 species
GACGAACGCUGGCGGCGUGCUUAACACAUGCAAGUCGAACGAUGAAGCCGGAGCUUGCUCUGGUGAAUUAGUGGCGAACGGGUGAGUAACACGUGAGUAACCUGCCCUUGACUCUGGGAUAACUGCGGGAAACUGUAGCUAAUACCGGAUACGACCCUCGGAGGCAUCUCCUGGGGUGGGAAGGAUUUCGGUCAAGGAUGGACUUGGGGCCUAUCAGCUAGUUGGGGAGGUAAAGGCUCACCAAGGCGACGACGGGUAGCCGGCCUGAGAGGGUGACCGGCCACACUGGGACUGAGACACGGCCCAGACUCCUACGGGAGGCAGCAGUGGGGAAUAUUGCACAAUGGGCGCAAGCCUGAUGCAGCAACGCCGCGUGAGGGAUGACGGCCUUCGGGUUGUAAACCUCUUUUAGCAGGGAAGAAGCGAAAGUGACGGUACCUGCAGAAAAAGCACCGGCUAACUACGUGCCAGCCGCCGCGGUAA